rnacentral:lncRNA from 1 species
CUAUGACAAAGGCUCCUCCCACCUGCCCUCUCUAAGUGGGGAAGCAGAGCUCUUCCUAAGAGGGCCCUACAUCAGGCAGACUAAUGAAUGGCCAGAAGGAGAGCAGAGCUUGGACAAAUGGAAAAUGAACCCCAACAGCUGAGACAGCCAAGGCCCAAGUGUGCAGGCUGCAGGAAGAAGUACCCCGAGAUGAGCAGCCUUAUGGGCUCACGUGUAUUCAUCCAGGACAUGUAAUUUCCAGAGAGGCUGACAAGCUGAGAGCCACCCCAGCUGUCCCAUUUACUCACCUAGUAAUUUGACGGUUCAUUAACUCAUCCAACAAAUAGCUACUUAGUGCUGACCGGUCUACUGGGGAUAAGAAGGACAAUAGAAGUUUCCAGACACUUCACAGUGGUGUGGGGCCCAGGGUGUCACCUUGGAAUCACAGAGGGUAGCUUCCCUCAGAAAAGGACUCCCAGUUUUCACAAUUCCUGCCCAAUGAAGAGGACCACAUGGCCUUAAUGAGAAUAUUUGGGCAUUCUCACAACUGUGAAGUUUCCUUCCUCUCUCCACAUCAAAUCCAGCUUCUGUGACAUUGCUCCUGAGAAACAGAACGAGAGAACAGCAGAAAACACAUGGGCUGGUUAUCCAGGAAAGCUUGUGCUCUCUCUGCAGUUCCUCAUUUAUUGGAUUAUGCGUAAGACCAGGCUGAGCUAUCAGGAUAGAUUUCUCUUGGAGAUGUAGAAUGGACCCUCGUAGUGGUGAUGUUCCAAAACAUUAACUGAUUUGAUCACGUCACUCCUCAAUAAUCGUCAGUGGUCCCAAGUGACCUACUAAAUAAAGUCCAGAUUUUGUAGUUUGGAAUUCAAUGACCUGCACAAAAUCAUGAGAGGCAAUACAGCAGACUGGCCUUUGGUGUCAGUCCCAGCUGAGCUUGAAACUCUGCUGACCAUGGGUAAAUCACUGAACCUUUCUGACCCCAUUUGGACAAUAAGGGCACCUUUCUUGUCAAGCUCAUGGUUAAAUGAGAGAUUGGAUGGAAUGCACUUAUCCAAUAUCUAGAACACAGUACUUGGUCAAUCCAUGACAUUAUCAUUAUUGUUCAUGAUAAUAAUAACAGGGCUCCUCCAGCCUGCCUUUCUCUCUCUGCGAAUGGUUUGCCCCCACCCUAUGUGUCUGCCCGCCCCCCCCCCCCCCCCCCAACAUGUACUAUUCCAUCUGCACACUGUGUUUCCAGCCUCUAAGUUUUGGCUCACACUGUUCUUACCCUACCCUCCCUUCCAGGCUUGACUCCGGGGCUCUUUCUUUCGUGCAUCCUUUGAGGGCAG